rnacentral:rRNA from 1 species
UACAGAGGGUGCAAGCGUUAAUCGGAAUUACUGGGCGUAAAGGGUGCGUAGGUGGUUACGUAAGUUAGGUGUGAAAUUCCUGGGCUUAACCUGGGGACUGCGCCUGAUACUGCGAAGCUAGAGUGUUGUAGAGGAAAGUGGAAUUUCCGGUGUAGCGGUGAAAUUCGUAGAUAUUGGGAAGAACACCAGUGGCGAAGGCGGCUCACUGGCCCGUAACUGACGCUGAGGUGCGAAAGCGUGGGGAGCAAACAGG